GGGUCGGUAGGUUGGUCGUGCCACCGGUACGUACUGGUCUCACUGAUUCCUCCUUCCUGAAGAACCGUAAUGCCAUUAAUUUGGUGUUGCGGGGAAACAGGACUGUUACUUUGAAAAAAUUAGAGUGUUUAAAGCAAGCUAACGCUUGAAUACAUUAGCGUGGAAUAAUGAAAUAGGACGAUCGAUCCUAUUUUGUUGGUUUCUAGGAUUGACGUA
rnacentral:rRNA from 1 species